rnacentral:rRNA from 1 species
CCUACGGGUGGCAGCAGUGAGGAAUAUUGGUCAAUGGACGCAAGUCUGAACCAGCCAUGCAGCGUGCAGGAAGACUGCCCUAUGAGUUGUAAACUGCUUUUAUACAAGGGUAAACGCAGGUACGCGUAUCUGUCUGAAAGUAUCGUACGAAUAAGGAUCGGCUAACUCCGUGCCAGCAGCCGCGGUAAUACGGAGGAUUCAAGCGUUAUCCGGAUUUAUUGGGUUUAAAGGGUGCGUAGGCGGUUGGAUAAGUUAGUGGUGAAAUUACGAGGCUCAACGUAAGAAUUGCAAUUGAUACUGUGCGGCUAGAGAGCAGUUGCGGUAGGCGGAAUGUAUGGUGUAGCGGUGAAAUGCUUAGAGAUCAUACAGAACACCGAUUGCGAAGGCAGCUUACCAAGCUACUUCUGACGUUGAGGCACGAAAGUGUGGGGAGCAAACAGGAUUAGAUACCCGUGUAGUC